CACGUAGGCGGAUUGUUAAGUCAGGGGUGAAAUCCUGGGGCUCAACCUCAGAACUGCCCUUGAUACUGGCAAUCUUGAGUCCGGAAGAGGUGAGUGGAAUCCCCAGUGUAGAGGUGAAAUUCGUAGAUAUUGGGAAGAACACCAGUGGCGAAGGCGGCUCACUGGUCCGGUACUGACGCUGAGGUGCGAAAGCGUGGGGAGCAAACA
rnacentral:rRNA from 1 species